ACUCAAAUGAAUUGACGGGGGCCCGCACAAGCGGCGGAGCAUGUUGCUUAAUUCGAUGCAACGCGAAGAACCUUACCAAGGUUUGACAUGCAGGGAAAAGCCGUAGAGAUAUGGUGUCCGUAAGGGUCCUGCACAGGUGGUGCAUGGCUGUCGUCAGCUCGUGUCGUGAGAUGUUGGGUUAAGUCCCGCAACGAGCGCAACCCUCGUUCUAUGUUGCCAGCGGUUCGGCCGGGAACUCAUAGAAGACUGCCGGGGUCAACUCGGAGGAAGGUGGGGAUGACGUCAAGUCCUCAUGCCCCUUAUAUCUUGGGCUGCAAACAUGCUACAAUGGCCGGUACAGAGGGCUGCGAGACCGCAAGGUGGAGCGAAUCUCAAAAAGCCGGUCUCAGUUCGGAUUGGGGUCUGCAACUCGACCCCAUGAAGUCGGAGUCGCUAGUAAUCGCGAAUCAGCAACGUCGCGGUGAAUACGUUCCCGGGCCUUGUACACACCGCCCGU
rnacentral:rRNA from 1 species